GACGAACGCUGGCGGCGUGCUUAACACAUGCAAGUCGAACGGUAAGGCUCCAGCUUGCUGGGGUACACGAGUGGCGAACGGGUGAGUAACACGUGGGUGACCUGCCCUGCACUUCGGGAUAAGCCUGGGAAACUGGGUCUAAUACCGGAUAGGACCGCACCGUGAGGGUGUGGUGGAAAGUUUUUUCGGUGUGGGAUGGGCCCGCGGCCUAUCAGCUUGUUGGUGGGGUAAUGGCCUACCAAGGCGGCGACGGGUAGCCGGCCUGAGAGGGUGGACGGCCACAUUGGGACUGAGACACGGCCCAGACUCCUACGGGAGGCAGAAGUGGGGAAUAUUGCACAAUGGGCGGAAGCCUGAUGCAGCGACGCCGCGUGGGGGAUGACGGCCUUCGGGUUGUAAACUCCUUUCACCAUCGACGAAGGGUUUCUGACGGUAGAUGGAGAAGAAGCACCGGCUAACUACGUG
rnacentral:rRNA from 1 species